GCUCCAUCCCCUCGCGUUUGUCCUGGGAAGGGUUUGGCGGGGGGCCGGCCCUCCGGCCCUCUGCUGCCCGAGGGUUCCGCGCAGGCUCGAGCUGACGGCGCUGGAGCGCGUGGUACGAAUCUCAGCCAAGCCCACCAAGCGGCUGCAGGAGGCGCUGCAGCCCAUUCUGGAGAAGCACGGCUUGAGCCCGCUAGAGGUGGCGCUGCACCGGCCAGGCGAGAAGCAGCCUCUGGAUCUGGGGACGCUAGUGAGCUCGGUGGCGGCCCAGAGACUGGUUUUGGACACUCUUCCAGGUGUGAAGAUCUCCAAAGCCCGUGACAAAUCUCCCUGCCGCAGCCAGGUGAGCAAAAGGCGAGUGGCCUCUUCCACCCUCUGCUUCUCCCCUCCCGAUUUUGGCUCUGACCCCACAUUCUCGCAGGGCUGCCCACCUAGAACUCAGGACAAGGCCACCCAUCCCCCUCCAGCGUCCCCCAGUUCUCUGGUGAAGGUGCCCAGUAGUGCUACUGGAAAGCGGCAGACCUGUGACAUCGAAGGCCUGGUAGAGCUGCUGAACCGGGUGCAGAGCAGCGGGGCCCACGACCAGAGGGGCCUUCUGAGGAAAGAGGACCUGGUACUUCCAGAAUUUCUGCAGCUGCCUACCCAAGGGCCCAGCUCCCAGGAGACCCCACCACAGACUGAAUCAGCAGCCCAGCCCAUCGGGGGAUCCUUGAACUCCACCACCGACUCAGCCCUCUGACAGCUACCCAGCAGUCCAGGACAGCUGCAUGGCACCCGGCGGGCCGAGCAUGCCAUGGGUCCGCUCUGCAUGCCCUGUCUGUGCCAUGAGUGUCCCUGGCCCCUUCCUGCCAUGGGCAGGCCCGCAGGAAGAGCCGGUAGGGGUGGAGAGGGGACUCAGAUGAGACACACCCCACAGCUGCCACUGCCUUGUCCCUCAACAAGCUCACCCCCAAUCC
rnacentral:sRNA from 1 species